GACGAACGCUGGCGGCGUGCUUAACACAUGCAAGUCGAACGGAAAGGCCCUGCUUUUGUGGGGUGCUAGAGUGGCGAACGGGUGAGUAACACGUGAGUAACCUGCCCUUGACUUUGGGAUAACUUCAGGAAACUGGGGCUAAUACCGGAUAGGAGCUCCUGCUGCAUGGUGGGGGUUGGAAAGUUUCGGCGGUUGGGGAUGGACUCGCGGCUUAUCAGCUUGUUGGUGGGGUAGUGGCUUACCAAGGCUUUGACGGGUAGCCGGCCUGAGAGGGUGACCGGCCACAUUGGGACUGAGAUACGGCCCAGACUCCUACGGGAGGCAGCAGUGGGGAAUAUUGCACAAUGGGCGGAAGCCUGAUGCAGCAACGCCGCGUGCGGGAUGACGGCCUUCGGGUUGUAAACCGCUUUCGCCUGUGACGAAGCGUGAGUGACGGUAAUGGGUAAAGAAGCACCGGCUAACUACGUG
rnacentral:rRNA from 1 species